GAUGAACGCUGGCGGCGUGCUUAACACAUGCAAGUCGAACGGAAAGGCUCCUGCUUGCAGGGGUACUCGAGUGGCGAACGGGUGAGUAACACGUGGGUGAUCUGCCCUGCACUUCGGGAUAAGCCUGGGCAACUGGGUCUAAUACCGGAUAGGACGAUGGUUUGGAUGCCAUUGUGGAAAGUUUUUCGGUGUGGGAUGAGCUCGCGGCCUAUCAGCUUGCUGGUGGGGUAAUGGCCUACCAAGGCGUCGACUCGUAGCCGGCCUGAGAGGGUGUACGGCCACACUGGGCCUGAGAUGCGGCCCAGACUCCUACGUGAGGCAGGAGUGGAGAAUAUUACACUAUGGGCGCAAGCCUGGUGCAGCGACGCCGCGUGGGGGAUGACGGCCUUCGGGCUGUAAGCUCCUUUCGCUAGGGACGAAGCGCAAGUGACGGUACCUGGAGAAGAAGCACCGGCUAACUACGUG
rnacentral:rRNA from 1 species